GGUGCUGUGGCUCAGUGGUAGAGUGCUAGCCUUGAGCUAAAGAGCUGAGGGACAGCACCC
rnacentral:tRNA from 1 species